NCGCCGCUAGCUCAGUUGGUUAGAGCAGCUGACUCUUAAUCAGCGGGUCCGGGGUUCGAGUCCCUGGCGGCGCACC
rnacentral:tRNA from 2 species